GGUGAAGUGGUCUAGUGAUAAGACACUAGCCUUCAAAGCUUGAGGUCAUGGUUCAAACCCUUAUCUUAUCU